rnacentral:rRNA from 1 species
AACAAACGCUGGCGGCGUGCCUAACACAUGCAAGUCGAGCGCGAAUGGAGCAAUCCUAGUAGAGCGGCGCACGGGUGCGUAACACGUGGGUAAUCUGCCCUGGAGCUCGGGAUAACCUGCCGAAAGGCAAGCUAAUACCGGAUAAGCCUACGGCCCCCUCGGGGGCUGAAGGAAAAGGUGGCCUCUGCACGCAAGCUAUC